UACGAAGGGGGCUAGCGUUGUUCGGAAUUACUGGGCGUAAAGCGCACGUAGGCGGCUUUGUAAGUUAGAGGUGAAAGCCUGGAGCUCAACUCCAGAAUUGCCUUUAAGACUGCAUCGCUUGAAUCCAGGAGAGGUGAGUGGAAUUCCGAGUGUAGAGGUGAAAUUCGUAGAUAUUCGGAAGAACACCAGUGGCGAAGGCGGCUCACUGGACUGGUAUUGACGCUGAGGUGCGAAAGCGUGGGGAGCAAACAGG
rnacentral:rRNA from 1 species